rnacentral:rRNA from 1 species
CCUANGGGAGGCAGCAGUCGGGAAUAUUGGGCAAUGGGCGCAAGCCUGACCCAGCGACGCCGCGUGAGGGAUGAAGGCCUUCGGGUCGUAAACCUCUGUCGGGAGGGAAGAAUGGCGGUGGGGCGAACAGCCUCGCUGUCUGACGGUACCUCCAAAGGAAGCGCCGGCUAACUCCGUGCCAGCAGCCGCGGUAAUACGGAGGGCGCAAGCGUUGUUCGGAAUCACUGGGCGUAAAGCGCGUGUAGGCGGCCGGGUAAGUCGGAUGUGAAAUCCCGAGGCUCAACCUCGGAACUGCAUUCGAAACGGUUCGGCUCGAGUCCCGGAGAGGAUGGCGGAAUUCCCGGUGUAGGGGUGAAAUCCGUAGAUAUCGGGAGGAACACCAGUGGCGAAGGCGGCCAUCUGGACGGUGACUGACGCUGAGACGCGAAAGCGUGGGGAGCAAACAGGAUUAGAUACCCGGNUANUC